GUGGCCUACGGGACGCAGCAGUCGAGAAUCAUUCACAAUGGGGGAAACCCUGAUGCAGCAACGCCGCGUGAGUGAAGAAGGUUUUCGGAUUGUAAAGCUCUGUUAGCAGGGAAGAGGAAGGACGGUACCUGCAGAGGAAGCCACGGCUAACUACGUGCCAGCAGCCGCGGUAAUACGUAGGUGGCAAGCGUUGUUCGGAAUAACUGGGCGUAAAGGAUGCGUAGGCGGUUAAACAAGUUAUAUGUUAAAUAUAUAGGCUUAACCUGUAGAAAGCAUAUAAAACUGUUUAACUAGA
rnacentral:rRNA from 1 species